GACGAACGCUGGCGGCGUGCUUAACACAUGCAGGUCGAACGGAAAGGCCCUGCUUUUGUGGGGUGCUCGAGUGGCGAACGGGUGAGUAACACGUGAGUAACCUGCCCUUGACUUUGGGAUAACUUCAGGAAACUGGGGCUAAUACCGGAUAGGAGCUCCUGCUGCAUGGUGGGGGUUGGAAAGUUUCGACGGUUGGGGAUGGACUCGCGGCUUAUCAGCUUGUUGGUGGGGUAGUGGCUUACCAAGGCUUUGACGGGUAGCCGGCCUGAGAGGGUGACCGGCCACAUUGGGACUGAGAUACGGCCCAGACUCCUACGGGAGGCAGCAGUGGGGAAUAUUGCACAAUGGGCGGAAGCCUGAGGCAGCAACGCCGCGUGCGGGAUGACGGCCUUCGGGUUGUAAACCGCUUUCGCCUGUGACGAAGCGUGAGUGACGGUAAUGGGUAAAGAAGCACCGGCUAACUACGUG
rnacentral:rRNA from 1 species